rnacentral:rRNA from 1 species
GAUGAACGCUGACAGAAUGCUUAACACAUGCAAGUCGAUGGGGAAGUGGUGCUUGCACCAUGGCAACCAUGGCGGACGGGUGAGUAACGCGUAAGGGACUUACCUGCAGGACUGGGAUAACAGGGGGAAACUCCUGACAAGACCGGAUAAUGUCAUGGAGCUGCAUGGCUUUAUGAUGAAAGGAGACGCCUGCGGAGAGCCUUGCGUCCUAUUAGCUAGUUGGUGAGGUAAUGGCUCACCAAGGCGAAGAUAGGUAGCCGGCCUGAGAGGGUGGACGGCCAAGAGGGGAAUGAGAGACAGCCCUUACUCCUACGGGAGGCAGCAGUGGGGAAUAUUGGACAAUGGGGGCAACCCUGAUCCAGCAAUUCUGUGUGCACGAAGAAGGUUUUCGGAAUGUAAAGUGCUUUCAGAAGGGAAGAAGUAAGUGACGGUACCUGCAGAAGAAGCGACGGCUAAAUACGUG